rnacentral:rRNA from 1 species
GACGAACGCUGGCGGCGUGCCUAAUACAUGCAAGUAGAACGCACAGUUUAUACCGUAGCUUGCUACACCAUAGACUGUGAGUUGCGAACGGGUGAGUAACGCGUAGGUAACCUGCCUGGUAGCGGGGGAUAACUAUUGGAAACGAUAGCUAAUACCGCAUAAUAUUAAUUAUUGCAUGAUAAUUAAUUGAAAGGUGCAAUUGCACCACUACCAGAUGGACCUGCGUUGUAUUAGCUAGUAGGUGAGGUAACGGCUCACCUAGGCGACGAUACAUAGCCGACAGGGGAGGGGGGUCGGCAAAAGUGGGACUGAGACACGGCCCGGACCCCUAGGGGAGGCAGCAGGAGGAAAUCUUGGGAAAUGGAGGAAAGUCGGACCGAGCAACGCGGGGUGGGGGAAGAGGGUUUUCGGAUGAAAAAGCUUGGUGGAAAGAGAAGAACGGGGGGGAGAGUGGAAAGUUCACACUGUGAGGGUAUCUUACAAGAAGGGGAGGGCUAACUACGUG